GUCUGUGUGUUUGUCAUUGAGUGUGUGUGACUGUCAGUGUGUAUACACCACUGAGUGUAGCGUGGUGGAACGCAGUACAGGAGCUUCUGUUUCCUGUACCCGGCCAGACUGACCGGAGGUGCUCACUGAGAGAGCACUCCCUGUCAGUCCGGCCAGGUACAGAAAAUUGAAGCUCCUGUAGGGGAUAUCCUCCACUCGGCAACGCUACAAGAGAGGUAGGAGGCACACCAGGAAGGGGAGUGCGACCACUAAGGGGGUGGAGGGUGCACCAAGGGACAGGGAGGGGAGGGGAGAGAAACACCAAGGGACAGGAAAAAGAGGGGAGAGCCUAGAAGAACACUAAGGGACAGGGAAGGGAGGGGACCACUAAUGGACGGGGAGAGGGGCUGGUUAAGAGGCACAUAGGUGAAGAUGUUAUUUGGGGGGGGCGGAAAGAUACAUCUUCGCCUAUGUACCCAAAAAUCCUUGCACCGGCCCUGCUGAUGGGCA